AUUGAACGCUGGCGGCAGGCCUAACACAUGCAAGUCGAGCGGGGACUUCGGUCCUAGCGUCGAACGGGUGAGUAAUGCUUGGGAAUCUGCCCAGUAGUGUGGGAUAACGUCCCGAAAGGGACGCUAAUACCGCAUACGUUCUACGGGAGAAAGAGGGGGUUCUUCGGAGCUCUCGCAAGUGGAUGAGCCCAAGUCGGAUUAGCUAGUUGGUAGGGUAAUGGCCUACCAAGGCGACGAUCCGUAGCUGGUCUGAGAGGAUGAUCAGCCACACUGGAACUGAGACACGGUCCAGACUCCUACGGGAGGCAGCAGUGGGGAAUAUUGGACAAUGGGCGAAAGCCUGAUCCAGCCAUGCCGCGUGUGUGAAGAAGGCCUUCGGGUUGUAAAGCACUUUAAGCGGGGAGGAAGGUUCGCGGCCUAAUACGUCGCGGAAUUGACGUUACCCGCAGAAUAAGCACCGGCUAACUCUGUG
rnacentral:rRNA from 1 species